rnacentral:rRNA from 1 species
UACUAGAGUAGCACUCGCAUAUCAAUAAGCGGAGGAAAAGAAACUAACAAGGAUUCCCCUAGUAACGGCGAGUGAAGCGGGAAGAGCUCAAAUUUGAAAUCUUAAAGGGUUUCCCUUUACGAAUUGUAGUUUAAAGAAGUGUUUUCUGUUGAGGUUUUGGUAAAAGUUCUUUGGAAUAGGACAUCAUAGAGGGUGAGAAUCCCGUAUUUGACCUUUACUUUCAACUUUGUGAUACACUUUCAAAGAGUCGGAUUGUUUGGGAAUGCAGUCCAAAAUGGGUGGUAAAUUUCAUCUAAAGCUAAAUAUUGGCGAGAGACCGAUAGCGAACAAGUACCGUGAGGGAAAGAUGAAAAGAACUUUGAAAAGAGAGUUAAACAGUACGUGAAAUUGUCAAAAGGGAAGCGUUUGACACCAGUGUUGUUUUUCUGAAAAUCAAUUAAAGAACUGUUUAUGCUAAGUUGUUUAGACUUUAUCAGCUAACUGUUUAGUUUUGAGCUUUUCUUUAAUGCACUUUUCAGUUAACAAGUCAACAUCAAUUUCUUUUGCUGUAAAAAAGCUUGAGGAAGGUGGCUUGAGAUUCGUCUUAAGUGUUUAUAGCCUCUUGCCUAUGCAGUCGGAGAGAUUGAGGUCUGCAGCGUAGAUCCUUCGAGGCUAAAUGCAUUUGUGCUAAGUUAUAGCAUUUUAUAGACAACUUGUUGACUAUGAUUUGUCUUGUAGCUUACUCGCUUAUGUUAUUUUACCUACGCUUAGGAUGUUGAGCGCAUGUCUCUCUCU